CGACCAAAGUCAAAGCGGAGGUUGACCAUUUAAUCGAAGAAGAAAUGCGUCGUAGUGCUAAACGACCGUCUGAUUAUCUUAAAGACCUCCCUCCUGUUGCCAAAUUCAACUUUGAGAUGGGUGUGGUGUCUGAUGCGAGCAAAAAGAAGAAGGCAGUCGCCUUAGCCAAGAGAGGAGUACAAGCUUUGAUGAACAUAAAGAAUGGUCUAGAUGAUCCCAUAGUGUCUUGAAUUGGGAUGCAGAUGCUGUUGAUCCAUGUAGUUGUCCAAAUGACCAGGU